GGUUCAGAACGUCGUGAGACAGUUCGGUCCCUAUCCGUCGCGGGCGCAGGAAAUUUGAGAGGAGCUGUCCUUAGUACGAGAGGACCGGGAUGGACACACCGCUGGUGUACCAGUUGUUCCGCCAGGAGCAUCGCUGGGUAGCUAUGUGUGGCAGGGAUAAACGCUGAAAGCAUCUAAGCGUGAAGCCCCCCUCAAGAUGAGAUUUCCCAUUUCUUCGGAAAGUAAGAUCCCUGAAAGAUGAUCAGGUAGAUAGGUUUGGAGUGGAAGUGUAGCGAUACAUGGAGCGGACAAAUACUAAUCGAUCGAGGACUUAACCAA
rnacentral:rRNA from 1 species